GUACAGAUUGUCGCAGCUCGCGGCGUAAGCUUCCAAAAAUCACGAAACCGGAAUUGUAGCAUCGUGACAUCACCUAAAGUCUUGGAGCUAAGAGAGUCGUGGGCACGAAGGAUCGCGUGGAGCGCUCGAGUCUUCCACUCCGGGAGAGGCUCGGGAUCGCGGGAAAUGAAUCGCCUCGAGUUAGCUAGCAAGGGAUUGGUUGAUCGGUGGUCUACAGCUCUUUUGUUUCUUUUAGAGAGGUUGAGAGACUUGUAUCAUUUUAUAGAGACCACCCACUAUUUGUAUUUUGAGACUUAUGAUGUACUACUUUACAUUUUACUUUAGCAGUCUAGCUUCUGUGGUUUCUACUGGUUAA